rnacentral:rRNA from 1 species
CCUACGGGAGGCAGCAGUGAGGAAUAUUGGUCAAUGGGCGCGAGCCUGAACCAGCCAAGCCGCGUGAGGGAAGACGGUCCUAUGGAUUGUAAACCUCUUUUGUCGGGGAGCAAAAGACGCUACGCGUGGCGUUCCGAGAGUACCCGACGAAAAAGCAUCGGCUAACUCCGUGCCAGCAGCCGCGGUAAUACGGAGGAUGCGAGCGUUAUCCGGAUUUAUUGGGUUUAAAGGGUGCGCGGGCGGAGGAUGAAGUCAGCGGUAAAAUUGAGAGGCUCAACUUCUUCGAGCCGUUGAGACUGGUAGGCUUGAGUGAGUGUGAGGUAGGCGGAAUGCGUGGUGUAGCGGUGAAAUGCAUAGAGAUCACACAGAACUCCGAUUGCGAAGGCAGCAUACCAGGGCUCAUCUGACGCUGAUGCACGAAAGUGUGGGGAGCGAACAGGAUUAGAUACCCGAGUAGUC